rnacentral:rRNA from 1 species
AUUGAACGCUGGCGGCAGGCCUAACACAUGCAAGUCGAACGAGUGGCGGACGGGUGAGUAAUGUCUGGGAAACUGCCCGAUGGAGGGGGAUAACUCCUGGAAACGGUAGCUAAUACCGCAUACCAUCGGAUGUGCCCAGAGGGGAUUAGCUUGUAGGUGUGGUAACGGCUCACCUAGGCGACGAUCCCUAGCUGGUCUGAGAGGAUGACCAGGCACACUGGAAAGGAAAAACGGGCGAGAUUCCGACGGGAGGCAGCAGUGGGGAAUAUUGCACAAGGGUCGAAAUACUGAUGCAGCCAUGCCGCGGGUAUGAAGAAGGCCUUAGGGUUGUAAAGUACUUUCAGCGGGGAGGCGUUACCCGCAGAAGAAGCAACGGCUAACUCCGUGCCAGCCGCAGCGGUAAUAC